rnacentral:lncRNA from 10 species
GUAGAAAGAAUGCUCUGAAGGCAGUGAGGUUCUUGAUUUUUGAGGAGUGACAGAGAAGGCUGUGAGACCUGUGGGAGGACACACCAAGUACGUGUGCAGAGGCACAAGGCAGAGAGGCAGAGGAUGGAGGAUGGCUUUGAGAAAUCCACAGAGGGUGGAUUGGACAGGAUUUUCUAACCAGCUGGAUAUGAGAGAAGAGAGGAUAAGGACAGGAUGAUGGCUGGAUCUUGAAGCUAAGAGAGAAUGAGUCAGGAGAGGUAGAUUUGGAAGUCAUCUGGAGCAAGAAUACAAACGGACGCCCACAUACGCGACGUCUAAACAUUUAGAAUCUGUAAAUUAAGCUAUUCCUAGUGCCAGUCUGCAUUCCUAGCUUGCAACCCAGAGGCAAAAGGAGCCAAGCCCUCCCCUAGGCCACCCCUGCUAACUGUGAACCUGGGAGUAGCUCAGAUCUGCUGGGACAAGAUGGCGCUAAAGCCGGACGUGGAUUCCAGGACUCCCAGCUGAUGACCUUCUGAACCCAGGAUAGAAACUAACACAAUCAAGAUCCCCAGGAAGCCAAGGCAAAUAGGUUUCACUUGUCAUUUUCUCAACUCAGGAUUUCCAGGUAUUUCUAAGGACCUGCCAAAACUCCAUCACUGGAGCAGAGAGAGGGGAAAGAGCACAGUUAUCUUGGGGAAACUAGCCUGGCUAUACACCCACUUUGGGUGGUUUGAAGCAACUAUAAACCAUAGUAGCCUUUCUGGAAACAACUCAAUGUCCUUUAACUAGUGAAUGGUAAAACAUAAUGGAACCAGCCUGACCAACAUGGAGAAACCCCAUCUCUACUAAAAAUACAAAAUUAGCCGGGCAUGGUGAUGCAUGCCUGUAGUCUCAGCUACUCGGGAGGCUGAGGCAGGAGAAUUGCUUGAACCCAGGAGGUGGAGGUUGCGGUGAGCCAAGAUCACGCCAUCACAUUCCAGCCUGGGCAACAAGGGCGAAACUCCGCCUCAAAAAAAAAAAAAAAAAAAAAAAAAGAAAGAAAAGAAAAGAAAAAACAAUGGGAUACAUCCAUACGUACAGUAGAAUGUCUACAUACAGUAGAAUAAUACUCUAAUAAAAAAGAACAAACCACUGUGCAUGCAACAACAUAGAUGUAUCUAAAGAGCAUUAUUCUAAAUGAAAGAAGUUAGACACAGAAGUCUACAUACUGCAUGAUUCCAUUUACAUGACAUUAAAGGCAAGCUAUGGGGAGAGGAAACAGAUCAGUGAUUCCACAGCAGGAAGUGAGGGGGCAGGGACAGAGAUUAACUGCAAAGGGACAUAGGGAGUUUAAUUGGGUGAUGAAAAUGUCCUAUGUUUUGAUUGUGUUGGUAGUUAGCCAAUUGUAUGCAUUUGUCAAAAGUCAGCAAACCAAACACUUAAAAAGGGUGAAUUUUAUAGUUUGCAAAUGAUACCUUAAUAAAGCAAACCCCUCAAAUAAGUAAUUAGUAAGCAAUUGAUCAAUCAAUCAGACCCUCUUUCUCUAGUUUCCCAGAGAAGAGGCUGUGAUUUUCUCCUUUCACCCACCUCCCUACUUGAGCAUUCAGAUCCGUAUCCCCUAGUCUACAGAGUGUAUUCCAGCCCAUUGCCCUCUCCCAUAAUUUCCCUUCGCCCAACUGGUUACCAAACCAGACAGAGAGAGACAGAAAGAUUUAGACAGGAAAGACAGAAAGUGUUUUUUUAUUGUAGAUUUUGAGAUAUGUAGGAACCUCCCCAAGGCAGAGAAGGGCUCCUCUUCCCAGGGCCUAAGGACAGUGUGAGAAUGUCACUGCCUGAGAGAAUCUGCUUUGAUAAAUCUAGGCAUAGGUCAACUUUUAACAUCCUAUGGAUUUUUCUCUCAUUUAACACACAACUAUUUGAUAACAGACAUUCUAUGAACACUGAAUUUUUGUUGAAAUUUUGAGUGUACAUUUUAAAAACAGUCCCAUGGUCAUUUAAAAGUGAAUAUUUUCCCCUAAUCUACUGGUUGUGCAAAUUUGAAAUUUUUCCUGAUUAGAUUUGCUUAAAAGGAAAGGUGCCUGAAGAGUAUGCCCCGAACCUCCAUUGUGCUCUGCAGAUCUGCCAAAUUCAUCCUUCCACUAUGGCAGGACCCAGACAGAAACCAGAGAAAUGGAGGGCAGGAGGGCAAAAGAUCAGCAAAACCAUGGAUAAAUACAUUUAUUAUUUUUUUAAUCUAACUUUAAGUUCUGGGAUACAUAUGCAGAACAUGCAGAUUUGUUACAUAGGUAUACAUGUGCCAUGGUGGUUUGCUGCACCCAUCAACCUGUCAUCUAGGUUUUAGGCCUCAUAUGCAUUAGGUAUUUAUCCUAAUGCUCUCCCUCUGCUUGCCCCCCACUCCACGACAGGCCCCAGUGUGUGAUGUUCCCCUCCAUGUGUUCAUGUGUUCUCAUUGUUCAACUCCCACUUAUGAGUGAGAACAGGUGGUGUUUGGUUUUCUGUUUCUGUGUUAGUUUGCUGAGAAUGAUGGCUUCCGGCUGCAUCCGUGUCCCUGCAAAGGACAUGAACUCAUUCUUUUUUAUGGCUGCAUAGUAUUCCAUGGAGUAUAUGUGGCACAUUUUCUGGAUAAAUACAUUUCUAUUUGUCUUCCAGGUGCAUACUCAUAGACAUUCACACUUUCCCCCAACUCUAGCACUCCACUUCCCACUUGUAUUUCACUAACAUUACUUGAAACCAUAGGGUCCACUGAAAGCAUGCCUUAAACUUGUGUGAGGAAAAUGGCUUUCUUGAAAUUGUCACAUCACAGAGAAGACUUUUGGCAUGAACCCCCAUCACACCAACAGGCUGGUCUUAAAUAUGGGGGUCUAGAAAGUCUGUAAUCCACCUGAAAGUCACAGAGCCUUUUCUGUGAUUCAAUUUAUUCAUGAGUAAGAUGGGAAUAAUGAUAAUUAUCUCCUGUUUCUCACAUAAUCAUGGUGAGGGUCAAAUGAGGUAUCGUAUGUCAAAGAGCCUUACAAACUCUGAAAUAGUAUGUGCAAAUAUGAGCUGCUGCUAAGUGGCUGCAAGACACAGUGAGUGUGGCAGGUAAAUGUGACUCCCUCACAACUGCUAGCACCUCUGGCCUUUAGGGAGGCCCCAAAAGCUUAUGAGUGGUUCUAAUUUAUAACUAACUUGCAGGUAACCCUCUUCCCCCUUCUUUCAUCCUUUCCUCUCCCCCUGCUCACAGAAACAGUCUAAAGAUUCAUCUUUCUGUCCUGAGUGCUGGAUCCUGGAGUACUAGCCUAGCCAGGGUCACCAGGUUCACUGUGAGCUCAAGCAAACCAUCCAGUGUGUACCCAGAAAUUGUGGAGGUCAGCACUACAGCCAGGCCCCACCAUUGUUCUGGCCCCACGGUUCAAUGGACAGGCUAAUGUGGCCUGUUCAGGGGGGUGGGGGCAUGAACAAUAGGAAUAAAUCUCUGCCUGCUGUGUCCCAGAAGGCAAAGUGCUGGCAGUAUUUCCCCUGAAAGCUAAUCAAUUCCAGAACCACUCAACCAGGGUCCUGAGACUCACAAAGGGGCACACUGGUGCUGGGGAAACAGGACCAAAGUGAAAGGAAAUGAGAUCAUUUAGGUGAGAUAAGACCAAGUGGGCAGCACAGGCCUGGCAGAAAUAGAGUGAGGAGAUUAACUUCCCCUUUCUGUGCAAUCAGCUACCCCCCUCAGCUGCACAGAGCUCUCUGGCUCUCCUGUACUCCCUACCACUACCUCCCCUCCCCUCCCCUCC